rnacentral:rRNA from 1 species
UACGUAGGGUGCGAGCGUUAAUCGGAAUUACUGGGCGUAAAGCGUGCGCAGGCGGUGAUGUAAGACAGGUGUGAAAUCCCCGGGCUUAACCUGGGAACUGCAUUUGUGACUGCAUCGCUGGAGUGCGGCAGAGGGGGAUGGAAUUCCGCGUGUAGCAGUGAAAUGCGUAGAUAUCAAGUGGAACACCAGUGGCGAAGGCGAGUCCCUGGACAUUUCCUGACACUGAGGCACGAAAGCUAGGGGAGCAAACAGG